UACGUAGGGGCCGAGCGUUGUCCGGAGUUAUUGGGCGUAAAGCGCGCGCAGGCGGCUUCGCGCGUCCGACGUGAAAGCCCCCGGCUCAACCGGGGAGGGUCGUUGGGUACGGCGGAGCUUGAGGGCGGUAGAGGUUGGUGGAAUUCCCGGUGUAGUGGUGAAAUGCGUAGAGAUCGGGAGGAACACCUGUGGCGAAGGCGGCCAACUGGGCCGACCCUGACGCUGAGGCGCGAAGGCGUGGGGGAGCGAACGGG
rnacentral:rRNA from 1 species